GAUUUCAGUACAGCGAGACAUGAAUUAAUUCGAUGAACAAAAAUAAGUGAGACGCACUUUAUCAUGUUUAAGUAUCACAGGAACAUAUGGAUGUCACUUGUUCGGCUCUCGCGCAUCUGAACCCUGAACCUUGGGAAAUCAGAUGAUUAACCACGCAAAAUUAACUUUUUUCAGAUAACUGACCAGUGUGCGGAAAUAUAGAAGAAAAUGGAGGUGACUGGUCGGAAGCCUGAAAGGUCAUUCAAGGAUUCUGUAGGUAGAUCGUCUGCUGAAGACUGGGAAGUCUUCUGUCAACCUUGUAGCAGCGAUGGAGACUGGAGGUUGCCAUUGGAUACUGUGAAAACUGCAAAGAAUAUUUAUGUAUUAUGUGUUUGAAGGUACAUCGUAAACAAGCGAUGUCCAGAAAUCAUAAAGUCCUUGAAGGUGAAAACAUGCCAAAGUCCCGUUUGUCAUCUGUGACACUCAAUGCUUGUUCUGAAUUGUGUGCCAAACAUGCAAAUGAGAUAGUGAAAUUAUAUUGCUCAGCACAUGAUGUGGUGAGGUGCGGGGAUUGCAUGUUGCUGGACCAUAAAUCGUGUAACGUGGAUCGUAUAUAAGAUAUAUCAAUGAACUACCUCAAUGGCGAUGAACAUCAAGAAAUCCAACAGAAGGUAGACCAAUUCCUACAGAACAUAGAACAAGUAAAGAGACUGAUACAAACCAAUGACAAAAACAUUCAACACACAUAUAUGAAAGCAGUAAAUGAUCUAAAUACAUUUAAGAAAGAAAUACUGGAAUAUCUAGAUAAGGCAGAGGCGGACAUGCUGGCGCAAUUGAGAAAAGGGAAAAGGAGUGACGAAAAGCUGGUAUCAGAUCUGAAAAAGAAAAGACCAUGAGAGGUAAUAUCCAAGUGUUGCAAGAGAAACUACAAUCACAGUUAAAUCAUGCAAAUCAGUUUAAACUAGGCGAAUUACUGGUAAAGAGGGCAAUAAUAGGACAGGUAAUGGUAAACAAGACAUCUGUGGACAAGAAAGAUAUUACAGAAAUGGAACCGCAGUUUGAUAGUGAAAUUGGAAUAAAGGCAUCGGAUGACACGGAAGAUUGUGCAAUUAAUGCCUGUACUCUUAUUUCGUACAAUCGGAUUAUAUUAGCAGGUCGUAGUAACAAAUGCUUGAAAAUUGUUGAUAUUGACAACAGAAAUAUAGCCGGAAAAUACAAACUUUAAAGCAAACCGUAUGGACUGGCAGUUAUUACUGUUACAUUUCCUGAUGAAAAGAAAAUAAAGUUUCUGACACUCACGCAGUGUGACAAAAUCACUGAAAGCAGCGUCAUAAAAGUGAAGGGCCCGUGUUUGAACAUUGCUUACCAGGAAAAUAAGAUAAUGGUGUUAUACGAUGAUCGUGUUGUUAUUCUGAAUAUGGUUUGGGAAGAGAUAACAAUUAUAUCCAUUUCGAAUAAGUAAUUGCCAAUGGAAAUCGCUCUUGGCUCUAAAUCCUUUUAUUGAUAAUUGUUGUAAUCCAAGUGUUUCCAGAUUUAUUUUGGAGGCAAUCUUAUUGCAAAAUACAAGGAUAAGGAUCUCAUAGAUGUAAGAGGACUCUUUGUAACAAGAUGUGAUACAGAUCUUGUUUGUAACUGGGAAAGAGCUGGAAGUAUUCAUAUGAUUUCACCAGAGUGCGAGAAGUUGAAAACAAUUCUGCAGCAAUCUGAUCAUGUUAGUUACCCAUUUUGCGUUUCUUUCUGCGAUGAAACCAACAGACUUUUUCUUUGUAACAACAAAAUAACUACAAUUGAUCCAAAACUGAAAAAUGUUAUAAACAUAUUCCAAUUCAAACCAUACCAAAAUUAAUUAAGAUUUGGAAUAGAAAUUUCGACUUUCAGCGGAAACUGUCUGAAAAUAUGAAAAUUUGAUCAUUAAUGCCUAUUUCACAUAUAACCCGGGCGCCGUGCGAUAAAUACGUCUUCGAUUUUCCUUGCGGUUUUCUGGGGCAUCGUAGGUGACUACGGCGUGUGUGUUCACAUUAUAUACGAGCAUCUUGCAAUUUUUUUACAGGUUCUUGGGGGAAGGCCGGAAGAAAUCCGCACGGACGCUGUGCGGAGAUGAUACUGAAAUUGGGCAAUUUUAGUGCAGUUGCCGUUCAGUCUCCGCAAUCUUCCCAUGGAAAAUAUACGACGCCCGUACGGCUUCCGUGCAGAGAUUGUACGGAGAAGAUAGGAAGAUGGUGCAGCCGCCAUGACGAAUAAUGAAAACAUGCUGGAGAUGGUCAAUAUAUACAACCAUCUGAAAAAUGUUUUGCCCAUAUCAAGGCCACUGUAGGGUUGCCGCACGAUAAUUGCGGUUACAGCACGGGACGCCUGCGGCAACCUCGCGACAGCUGUACGAAGGUCGUACGAAGGCCCUACAGUCUACAAUCUCCGUACAAUUUCUUUUGGCCACCAUGUCCACGGAAAGUCGUACGAUGCCCUUGCGUGGAUUGUGCAAUGCCACCUGCGACAUGUCUACGAACAUUUAACUUUCAUUCUUUAAAAGAUAGAAAUUGAUAUUAGAUAUCGGAAAUGAUGAACCAGU